AUUUAGGGUAUAGGAUUUAGGAUUUAGGGUUUAGGGUUUAUUGUUUAGUAUUUUGUUGACGGCGUUAACACUAUUAAAAAAAAUUCUUGUUUUGGUAAUUACCAAUAUUUUUUAUUUAUUUUAAAAAUAUAAUACCACUUGACAAAUUAUUAUUAUCCUGUUUCUUUUUUUUUAAAGAUAUUGAAUCUUAAAUAACUAAAUCAUAUUGGUUGGUGAAUCUACGUGUUCGGAUUAAGUAGGUUGAAGGAGAAAAUAAUAAGUAGAUAUCGGAUGAGAAAACUGGAAAACGUAACAAAAACUAAAGAAUGGAAAAAGAAGUGCAAAAUUAAAUAACAUUGGAUUAAAAGAAAAAUAAAGAUAACUAUCAACUAUCGUUUGUGCUGGACCACAUCAAUAUGCAAAAAAAAAUUCAAAAACAGAGGCAUCAACCUUUUGUUGAGAAGAUAAGAGGACCUAUGGAGAACAUGUACAGUUCCUGGCUUUAUUCGUUUACUUGGAAAAUGAUGUUUCUGGUUUGUGGCAUUUGUACGAACUGAAAAGACGGAGUGAUUAGUUAUUGAAUAAAUUAGAUAAGAGAUCACUAAACCUUAAACUUUUUUCCUGUACAUAUAUCUAGGAAAUCAUUUAUGCAC
rnacentral:lncRNA from 1 species